rnacentral:rRNA from 1 species
UACGUAGGGUGCAAGCGUUGUCCGGAAUUAUUGGGCGUAAAGAGCUCGUAGGCGGUUCGUCGCGUCGGCUGUGAAAACCUGAGGCUCAACCUCAGGCCUGCAGUCGAUACGGGCGGACUUGAGUACUGAAGGGGAGACUGGAAUUCCUGGUGUAGCGGUGAAAUGCGCAGAUAUCAGGAGGAACACCGGUGGCGAAGGCGGGUCUCUGGGCAGUAACUGACGCUGAGGAGCGAAAGCGUGGGGAGCGAACAGG